rnacentral:ncRNA from 1 species
CCGAUAAAGGCAAACUUAUUGAAAAAUAAGGACGCAAAACUUAAGGGCCUUAACCUAUAUGGAAAGGUAGCCAGUUGCCGAA